UUCUGUGUGACAUGCCGCAGACUCAGAGGAAAGUUAGAAGUCCAAAAGAUGGCGGACCUCCCACCUGAGCGGCUUAGUAUGUCUUCUCCAUUCACGUACGUGGGGUUAGACAUUUUCGGUCUAUGGACAGUGGUCACUCGAUGCAGGGGUGGUGUGGCAGAGAACAAAAGGUGGGCCAUACUUACAUGUAUGAGCAUAUGAACAGUCCACAUUGCAGUCAUAGAAUCUAAGACCUCUGCCAGUUGCAUCAAUGACGAAGGUUUUUUGCAGUCAGAGGACCAGCUAAACAGCUUAGAUCAGACCGAGGAACCAACUUCAUUGGAGCUAGUCAAGAACUAGGCAUGCAGCCAACGAAAGAGGAUGAUGGCAGAAGUGUCAGCAAUCAUAAAUGCUAGACCUCUGGUUCCUGUUUCAUCAGAUCCCAAUGCUCCAUGCGUGCUCACUCCGGCAAUGCCUUUAACCCAGAUACCAGGAGUAUCUGCCCCAAAUGAGAACUACACUGAAAGACAUCCUGAAAUGCCAAUGGAAACGAGUACAAGCACUGGAUAACGAGUUCUGGAGCCGAUGGUGAAAAGAAUACAAUAGUACGCUCCGACCUUGACGCAAGUGGUAUGAGGCUCACCGGAACAUGCGAGCUGACUCAGUUGCCAAGGAAUGACUGGCCUCUAGGCUUAAUCAUGUCUGUCCUUCCGAGCAGUGAUGAAAAGGUUUGCAAGGUAGAUGUCAAGACAUCCGAAAAUGGUAAUAUGAAAACAUUCUUAAGGCCUAUUUCUGAAGUGGUCUUCUGCUAGCCAAAGAUGACUAAGCAGAGACCAGGACAGAACUGUUACAGCGGCAUUAAUGAUGCCAAGUGGGGAGUGUUCUGCCUCUGUUAGAGGCUGUGUAUAAUUUAUGAUGGACAUUUGCAUUUACAUUCAUCUUAUUUUUGUAAUUGCUUAAUGUUCGAUAUGCUUUUCAUAUUCCAUUCACUUUUACCCGCCGCUUAUGUGUAACUUUGUAUAGAAGGACUUUUAUUUUGACGCGUAUCUGCGAGCACGGCAUGUUGGGUAACCAGGUAGCAGCGAGCAUGGUGUAGUGCACGCUGAGCGUAUGUUUGAGUUGCAUCCAGGUUAAAAGUUAAUCCUUCUUCAAAAUGCUACAGAAGCACCGGUUUGACGAUCCAGGGAAGGGCACUGGUACAUGAUCUGGCUAAAGACGUGCAUGAGUGGGACACCAGCCUUCCUGAAGAAAAAAGUGAGAAGAAUGGAAAACCUCACAUCAAAAGCUAAGUAACCUUCACAUUACACGUUCAUACCUACACCAUUCACUUUCUAACAUUUCAUACACUGAGUUGUGUAUCUUUUCAGAUGCCUCAAACUGGGCCUUAGGGGCAGUGGCUUACCUUUGAGCUCUGACUGAUGAAGGCGAGGUCAAAGUGGGUUUUGUAAUGAGCAAGGCCAAGCUGUCACCGCGUUCUGAGCCAACUAUCCCUCGCCUGGAGUUGUGUGGUGCAGUGCUGGCUGUAGAGAUGGCUGAACACAUUCUCGACGAGCUGGACCACAAGCCGAAUGCUGUGAGAUUCUAUUGUGAUAGCAAGGUAGUUUCGGGCUAUGUUCUACCUGGGAGUCUUUGUUAAAAGCUGGUUCCUUCCUUAUUCAUCAAGUUCGUUCUUACAUGUCCAGUUCCAUCAGCACAGCUCGUACAUGCAAAGGAUGGCAUCAGUGCAACAAAGUAUGCACACCUGAAGAGCAGACAACAGCAAAGAGACUAAUACUUUUACAUGUCCACAAAGAUGUGUAUCCAGAAGUGUAUGCUGCUCUGCAGAGGAACGAACCAGUUCCACAAUUAAGUGUGCUGUGGAAUCUCAACCCCUACAUCGAUGAUGGACUUUUGAGGGUUGGAGGACAUUUGAGGCAUGCUUCUCUUGAGGCCGAAGUAAAGAAUCCAAUCAUCCUCUAAACAAAGCCACAUCACCAAACUGCUACCACUCCAAUGUGCACCAUCAAGGAUUACAACUCACAGAAGGAGCAAUUAGAUCGGCUGGCUUGUGGAUUGUACGAGCAAAAAGAUUGAUAAACUUCCUUCACUUCUGUGUGACAUGCCGCAGACUCAGAGGAAAGUUAGAAGUCCAAAAGAUGGCGGACCUCCCACCUGAGCGGCUUAGUACGUCUUCUCCAUUCACGUACGUGGGGUUAGACGUUUUCGGUCUAUGGACAGUGGUCACUCGAUGCAGGGGUGGUGUGGCAGAGAACAAAAGGUGGGCCAUACUUACAUGUAUGAGCAUAUGAGCAGUCCACAUUGCAGUCAUAGAAUCUAAGACCUCUGCCAGUUGCAUCAAUGACACAGGUUUUUUGCAGUCAGAGGACCAGCUAAACAGCUUAGAUCAGACCGAGGAACCAACUUCAUUGGAGCUAGUCAAGAACUAGGCAUGCAGCCAACGAAAGAGGAUGAUGGCAGAAGUGUCAGCAAUCAUAAAUGCUAGACCUCUGGUUCCUGUUUCAUCAGAUCCCAAUGCUCCAUGCGUGCUCACUCCGGCAAUGCCUUUAACCCAGAUACCAGGAGUAUCUGCCCCAAAUGAGAACUACACUGAAAGACAUCCUGAAAUGCCAAUGGAAACGAGUACAAGCACUGGAUAACGAGUUCUGGAGCCGAUGGUGAAAAGAAUACAAUAGUACGCUCCGACCUUGACGCAAGUGGUAUGAGGCUCACCGGAACAUGCGAGCUGACUCAGUUGCCAAGGAAUGACUGGCCUCUAGGCUUAAUCAUGUCUGUCCUUCCGAGCAGUGAUGAAAAGGUUUGCAAGGUAGAUGUCAAGACAUCCGAAAAUGGUAAUAUGAAAACAUUCUUAAGGCCUAUUUCUGAAGUGGUCUUCUGCUAGCCAAAGAUGACUAAGCAGAGACCAGGACAGAACUGUUACAGUGGCAUUAAUAAUGCCAAGUGGGGAGUGUUCUGCCUCUGUUAGAGGCUGUGUAUAAUUUAUGAUGGACAUUUGCAUUUAUAUUCAUCUUAUUUUUGUUAUUGCUUAAUGUUCAAUAUUCCAUUCACUUUUACCUGCCGCUUAUGUGUAACUUUGUAUAGGAGGACUUUUAUUUUGACGCGUCUCUGCGAUGUUGGGUAACCAGGUAGCAGCGAGCAUGGUGUAGUGCACGCUGAGCGUAUGUUUGAGUUGCAUCCAGGUUAAUUCUUCAAAAUGCUACAGAAGCACCGGUUGUAAGUCUAUAUUAAAAAUAUCUCUAUGGCACAUAACAUUAAAGUGUAUGCUUAGUCUAAUCACUUUAUAACUGGAGAUGUUUGCUGAACUGUGCUAACAUCCUACAUUAGCCACCUGUCUAAUGAGAUAGCAAUCUGUUGUGUAGAUUGUUUGUGUAGCUACCCUGUUGAUGAGUAUAAUGCUAUUUUGCAUUUUAAUAAGUUUUAUUUCUUUCAUUUCUUUUACAGUUUUACUCGAUUCAUUGACCUGUGAGUUUGCCCUGUAACUGCAAAGUUAUCAUUAAAGGAGCAAGGCGCUCAUUUCUUGGCUUUUGAACAGA